GACGAACGCUGGCGGCGUGCUUAACACAUGCAAGUCGAACGGAAAGGCCCUGCUUUUGUGGGGUGCUCGAGUGGCGAACGGGUGAGUAACACGUGAGUAACCUGCCCUUGACUUUGGGAUAACUUAAGGAAACUGGGGCUAAUACCGGAUAGGAGCUCCUGCUGCAUGGUGGGGGUUGGAACGUUUCGGCGGUUGGGGAUGGACUCGCGGCUUAUCAGCUUGUUGGUGGGGUAGUGGCUUACCAAGGCUUUGACGGGUAGCCGGCCUGAGAGGGUGACCGGCCACAUUGGUACUAAGAUACGGACCAGACUCCUACGGGAGGCAGCAGUGGGGAAUAUUGCACAAUGGGCGGAAGCCUGAUGCAGCAACGCCGCGUGCGGGAUGACGUCCUUCGGGUUGCAAACCGCUUUCGCCUGUGACGAAGCGUGAGUGACGGUAAUGGGUAAAGAAGCACCGGCUAACUACGUG
rnacentral:rRNA from 1 species